UACGUAGGGUGCUAGCGUUGUCCGGAUUUAUUGGGCGUAAAGAGCGUGUAGGCGGCCUGAAAGGUCAGCUGUGAAAACUCGAGGCUCAACCUCGAGACGUCGGUUGAAACCAUCUGGCUAGAGUCCGGAAGAGGAGUGUGGAAUUCCCGGUGUAGCGGUGAAAUGCGCAGAUAUCGGGAAGAACACCCGUGGCGAAGGCGGCACUCUGGGACGGUACUGACGCUGAGGAGCGAAAGCGUGGGGAGCGAACAGG
rnacentral:rRNA from 1 species